UCAAAUUUUAUCUCAAGCACCUGUUUCACAUAUUGUGAGUCAUCUCUUAGAUCACAUCAUGCAUCAUCUCAACAUCAAUCAAACACUAGAAUCUCAUAAAGAAAAACCCAUCACAAAAAACAGGCACAGUUGAAUCAAAGCAGUUCAAUUCAUUCAAGCAGAGCACAACAAAAAAUAAAAUAAAAAACUAAAAUUAAAACAAAAACAAAAAUUAAAAAUUAAAAGCAAAAGUUCAGAGAACUGGGUUGCCUCCCAGGAAGCGCUUCUUUAACGUCACUAGCUUGAC
rnacentral:lncRNA from 1 species